ensembl:lncRNA
UGUUUGUAUAUGUGUGUGCCUGUAUGUCUGUGUCUAUAUGUCAGGUUGGGUAUCAGACGCCACCUCUCUGGGGACAUCUCAGGCCCUCCAAAGUUUGGAGGCCUAUCUCCCCCUACCACCACUUCCCCUGCCAGUGGCAGACUCCCUCAGACAUCGGUGCGUUGGUGGUUCUUUGUGUCUGGGGAUGGGCGUCCAGGUACAUACCGGCUCACUCCUUGGCGGCCGCUUAUCGGGGCCUGGAGCCUGGGGCUCGCUCGGGCCACUUCGGAGGUGGGGUGCCCACGGCCUCUCGGCCUGGGGCUCGGUCACUCAGGCACGGCUGGCUGCCGGCGGAGCUCACGGGCGCGUCACUGCAACUCCCCCUGGCUUCUGCUCCGCGGCUGCUGAGUGAGCCCUCAUCUGGGACUCUCCUCAGCUCUUACUGGGACAGUGGCGCGGCUGCCCCUCUGUUGGUCUUCCUUGGUCUCUUGUGUUCUGGGGGCCUCUGGAUGUCUGGAGUUUUGAUCUCCUCCAUACCUGCUUCAUGCCCUGGAGGACGGGGCUGUGCCCCCCCACGCCCUCUAGCAGAUUAUUACAUGAAGGAACCUUUAAAAAAAAAACAAAAAAAAAAACAAGCGCGUCCAUGCUCACAGGUGUACACACGGGUGAUCACACCCACAAACUACACCCUUUUUGGUUCCUACCUCAAAGCACACUGUGUUCUGUUGAUCUUAUGUGCUGCACAAUAAUGUUUAAUAUUUAGUAUUUACUGUCAUAUUCCCAUAUAUCAUUGUGAUGUUGUUUAUUCUAUUACUCUUGUUCUCUUCUGCUUGCUUUCUUUUUUCUUUCUCAGCAGGUGAUCCAGGUGAUUGAUAUAUGCAUUUUUUUUUCUCUGCCCGUUCUGUUGGUUUUUGUUUUUUGCCCUUCUCCCCCGUCCCUCUUCUCAGCUGUUUCUCUUUCCCUCUUUCUUUCUCCCCUUCUUUCCCCCAGUCAAGUCUGUCCCGUAUUCAGUAAGUGAAAAUAAAAUAAACAAUAAAAGGUGAAUCAAAUGGACCAUUACGGCAAGGCUGGGAUGGUCAGUUUGGUAAAGUAAAUCCGUUGGGCAUCUUUCUUUGCCUUUAGACAACAAUUCUGAUGGCAAAAGAGCCAAACGGGACAGGCGCAAAAA